rnacentral:rRNA from 1 species
AUUGAACGCUGGCGGCAUGCUUUACACAUGCAAGUCGAACGGCAGCGCGGGCUUCGGCCUGGCGGCGAGUGGCGAACGGGUGAGUAAUACAUCGGAACGUGCCCAGUAGUGGGGGAUAGCUCGGCGAAAGCCGGAUUAAUACCGCAUACGACCUGAGGGUGAAAGCGGGGAGUCUUCGGACCUCGCGCUAUUGGAGCGGCCGAUGGCAGAUUAGCUAGUUGGUGGGAUAAAAGCUUACCAAGCCGACGAUCUGUAGCUGGUCUGAGAGGACGACCAGCCACACUGGGACUGAGACACGGCCCAG